UGCCAGCCGCCGCGGUAAAACCAGCACCUCAAGUGGUCAGGAUGAUUAUUGGGCCCAAGCACCCGUAGCCGGCUCUGUAAGUUUUCGGUUAAAUCUGUACGCUCAACGUACAGGCUGCCGGGAAUACUGUAGCGCUAGGGAGUGGGAGAGGUAGACGGUACUCGGUAGGAAGGGGUAAAAUCCUUUGAUCUAUUGAUGACCACCUGUGGCGAAGGCGGUCUACCAGAACACGUCCGGCGGUGAGGGAUGAAAGCUGGGGGAGCAAACCGGAUUAGAUA
rnacentral:rRNA from 1 species